rnacentral:rRNA from 1 species
UACGAAGGGGGCUAGCGUUGCUCGGAAUUACUGGGCGUAAAGGGCGCGUAGGCGGAUAGUUUAGUCAGAGGUAAAAGCCCAGGGCUCAACCUUGGAACUGCCUUUGAUACUGGCUAUCUUGAGUUCGGGAGAGGUGAGUGGAAUGCCGAGUGUAGAGGUGAAAUUCGUAGAUAUCGGGAGGAACACCAGUGGCGAAGGCGGCGAUCUGGGAAGAUACUGACGCUGAGGUGCGAAAGCGUGGGGAGCAAACAGG